rnacentral:rRNA from 1 species
UGCGUAGGCGGGCUAAUAAGUCAGUGGUGAAAUCUCUCGGCUCAACCGGGUAACUGCCAUUGAUACUGUUAGUCUUGAGUUCGGUUGAGGUAGGCGGAAUGUGUAAUGUAGCGGUGAAAUGCUUAGAUAUUACACAGAACACCAAUUGCGUAGGCAGCUUACUAGACCGACACUGACGCUGAGGCACGAAAGCGUGGGGAGCGAACAGGAUUAGAUACCCUGGUAGUCC